rnacentral:rRNA from 1 species
CCUACGGGAGGCAGCAGUGGGGGAUAUUGCACAAUGGGGGAAACCCUGAUGCAGCGACGCCGCGUGUGGGAAGACGGUCCUCUGGAUUGUAAACCACUGUCCUCAGGGACGAAGAUGACGGUAGCUGGUGAGGAAGCUUCGGCUAACUAUGGUUCAGAAGCCGCGGUAAUACGUGGGGAGCGAGCGGUGUACGGAAUUACUGGGUGAAAAGGGACCGUAGACGGGGAUGCAAGUUGGGUGUCAAAACUACCGGCUAAACUGGUAGUCGCACUCAAAACUGCAGCUCUUGAGUGAAGAAGAGGCGAGCGGAAUUCCUAGUGUAGCGGUGAAAUGCGUAGAUAUUAGGAGGAACACCAGUGGCGAAGGCGGCCUGCUGGGCUUUUACUGACGCUGAGGCUCGAAAGUGUGGGGAGCAAACAGGAUUAGAUACCCUAGUAGUC